CCUACGGGAGGCUGCAGUGAGGAAUAUUGCUCAAUGGGCGCGAGCCUGACCCAGCCAAGUCGCGUGAGGGAUGACUGCCCUACGAUCGGUAACCUUCUUUUAUAAAGGAAUAAGGUCAGGCACGUGAUCCUUUUUGUAUGUACUUUAUGUCUAAGGAUCGCCUAACCCCGUUCCAUCAGCCGCGGUAAUACGGAGGGUCCGAGCGUGAUGCGGAUUUAUUGGGCUUAAAGGGAACGUAGGUGGGUUGUUAAGUCAGUUGUGAAAGUUUGCGGCUCAACGGUAAAAUUGCAAUUGAUACUGGCAGACUUGAGUGCAGUAGAGGUAGGUGGAAUUCGUGGUGUAGCGGUGAAAUGCGUAGAUAUCAGGAAGAACACCGAUUGAGAAGGCAGCUAACUAAACUGUAACUGACGUUGAGGCUCGAAAGUGUGGGUAUCAAACAGGAUUAGAGACCCUAGUAGUC
rnacentral:rRNA from 1 species